rnacentral:rRNA from 1 species
UAGGGAAUCUUCCGCAAUGGGCGAAAGCCUGCCGGAGCAACGCCGCGUGAGUGAUGAAGGUCUUCGGAUCGUAAAACUCUGUUAUUAGGGAAGAACAAAUGUGUAAGUAACUAUGCACGUCUUGACGGUACCUAAUCAGAAAGCCACGGCUAACUACGUGCCAGCAGCCGCGGUAAUACGUAGGUGGCAAGCGUUAUCCGGAAUUAUUGUGCGUAAAGCGCGCGUAGGCGGUUUUUUAAGUCUUGUGUGAAAUCCCACGGCUCAACCGUGGAGGGUCAUUGCAAACUGGAAAACUUGAGUGCAGAAGAGGAAAGUGGAAUUCCAUGUGUAGCGGUGAAAUGCGCAGAGAUAUGGAGGAACACCAGUGGCGAAGGCGACUUUCUGGUCUGUAACUGACGCUGAUGUGCGAAAGCGUGGGGAUCAAACAGG